rnacentral:rRNA from 1 species
AAAAGGUGGCUAUGCUACCGCUUUGGGAUGGGCCCGCGGCGCAUUAGCUAGUUGGUGGGGUAAAGGCUUACCAAGGCAAUGAUGCGUAGCCGAACUGAGAGGUUGAUCGGCCACAUUGGGACUGAGACACGGCCCAAACUCCUACGGGAGGCAGCAGUAGGGAAUCUUCCACAAUGGGCGAAAGCCUGAUGGAGCAACGCCGCGUGGGUGAAGAAGGUCUUCGGAUCGUAAAACCCUGUUGUUAGAGAAGAAAGUGCGUGAGAGUAACUGUUCACGUUUCGACGGUAUCUAACCAGAAAGCCACGGCUAACUACGUGCCAGCAGCCGCGGUAAUACGUAGGUGGCAAGCGUUAUCCGGAUUUAUUGGGCGUAAAGGGAACGCAGGCGGUCUUUUAAGUCUGAUGUGAAAGCCUUCGGCUUAACCGGAGUAGUGCAUUGGAAACUGGGAGACUUGAGUGCAGAAGAGGAGAGUGGAACUCCAUGUGUAGCGGUGAAAUGCGUAGAUAUAUGGAAGAACACCAGUGGCGAAAGCGGCUCUCUGGUCUGUAACUGACGCUGAGGUUCGAAAGCGUGGGUAGCAAACAGGAUUAGAUACCCUGGUAGUCCACGCCGU